UAAACUUUAAAUGCCUUUUUUUAGCUUAUGGAUGAUUUACUUGGCACAAAACCAUUUAUGUCGCCUUGUAAAUAUUGUAUCCAUAACCGGUAAAAAGUCGCAAGCGGAAUCUGAGCAGUCGGACUGUAGUCAGACAUCCUCCAAUGAAGACAAAGAGAACUCAUAGGAAUAACUAAAAGAAGAAAUAAAGAAGAACAGAGAAAACGGAAUAUAAUUUGCAUUGAGUUCUCUUUGUCUUCAUUGGAGGAUGUCUGACUACAGUCCGACUGCUCAGAUUCCGCUUGCGACCUUUUACUGGUUAUGGAUACAGUAUUUACAAGGCGACAUAAAUGGUUUUGUGCCAAGUUAGACCACGCGUUUAUUGCAUUUACCUUUGACUAUAAGCAUUCACGCUUUUGCUGCCCUACCUCGAUGGAUGAAGCG
rnacentral:lncRNA from 1 species